rnacentral:lncRNA from 1 species
AGAGAACGAAGAGACACCGAACGCGUCCGUACGAAGUGAACAUUCACUAGGCCGAAACAACGAUGCAGUCGAGAUGGAUAGUAAGGGUUACCACAGUGGAGAGUCAGAGAAUUCGUCUUCUGCAGACAGACCCUCGAACAAUGAAGACGCUCACUUAAAUGUGUAAUGUUACUGCACUAUAUAAUGUUACUGCACAGUAUAAUGUUAAUCUACUGUAUAAUGUUACUGUACUGCAUGUAUAAUGUUACUGUACUGUAUAACGUUACUAUACUGUAUAACGUUACUAUACUGUAUAAUGUUAUUGUACUGUAUAAUGUUAAUGUACUGUACUGUAUAUUGUCACUGUAUUGUAUAUUGUCACUGUACUGUAUAUUGUUACUGUAUAUUGUUACUGUAUAAUGUUAAUGUACUGUAUAAUGUUAAUGUACUGUACUGUAUAUUGUCACUGUACUGUAUAUUAUUACUGUAUAAUGUUACUGUACUAAUGUGCAGCAUGCAACAAGGUUCUGCGAUAAUCGUGGGUCGUAGAAGCAAUACCAUAGUGCACAAUAUAAUCUAAUGAACUGUAUGUCUGUAUAUACUGAAUUUUUCCGUUACACAGUGUAGUAUACCUUGCAACAAGCAGGGGGUGUGCAAAACAUAUACCACCCAAGAAUUCCACUAUAUUGCACAACUGUAUAACCGACCUCAUUUCGGACAAACUGGCAAAUACAGGUUUAUAAAAACAGUGAUGUAAUCUCGAACGCUGGGCCAGUGUUGGUAGUGCCAAAAAUAAGAAUUUUUAUAUUAUUUAUUUCACAAGCAAUAUACAUAACUCUAUACAGAAGUAUAUAAAUCUAUUGUAUGCAAAUAUGUAUCAAUUAAAUUGUCAUAGC